rnacentral:misc_RNA from 1 species
AACCAUAGAAACCUGCGGAGUACCUGCGGAAGGAUCAUUACAGAGUUGCAAAACUCCCUAAACCAUUGUGAACGUUACCUAAACCGUUGCUUCGGCGGGCGGCCCGGGUCCUUCCCGGCGCCCCUCGGCCCUCGCGGGCGCCCGCCGGAGGUAAACCAAACUAUUGCAUUUGUAUGGCCUCUCUGAGUCUUCUGUACUGAAUAAGUCAAAACUUUCAGCAAUGGAUCUCAGAUCGGAAGA